CCUACGGGAGGCAGCAGUGGGGAAUAUUGGGCAAUGGGCGCAAGCCUGACCCAGCAAUGCCGCGUGAAGGAAGAAGGCUUUCGGGAUGUUAACCUCUUUGACAGGGGAAGAGCAGAAGACGGUACCCUGAAAACAAGCCACGGCUAACUACGUGCCAGCAGCCGCGGUAAUACGGAGGUGGCAAGCGUUGUCCGGAUUUACUGGGUGUAAAGGGCGUGUAGCCGGGAAGGCAAGUCAGGUGUGAAAUCUGGAGGCUCAACCUCCAAAUUGCAGUUGAAACUGUUUUUCUUGUGUACUGGAGAGGCAGACGGAAUUCCUAGUGUAGCGGUGAAAUGCUUAGAUAUAAGGAGGAACACCAGUGGCGAAGGCGGUCUGCUGGACAGCAACUGACGGUGAGGCGCGAAAGCGUGGGGAGCAAACAGGAUUAGAUACCCUUGUAGUC
rnacentral:rRNA from 1 species